UACGUAGGUGGCAAGCGUUGUCCGGAAUUAUUGGGCGUAAAGCGCGCGCAGGUGGUUUCUUAAGUCUGAUGUGAAAGCCCACAGCUCAACCGUGGAGGGUCAUUGGAAACUGGGGAACUUGAGUGCAGAAGAGGAAAGUGGAAUUCCAAGUGUAGCGGUGAAAUGCGUAGAGAUUUGGAGGAACACCAGUGGCGAAGGCGACUUUCUGGUCUGUAACUGACACUGAGGCGCGAAAGCGUGGGGAGCGAACAGG
rnacentral:rRNA from 1 species